GAUGAAGAACGUAGCGAAAUGCGAUAAGUAGUGUGAAUUGCAGAAUUCAGUGAAUCAUCGAAUCUUUGAACGCACAUUGCGCCCUUUGGUAUUCCUUAGGGCAUGCCUGUUCGAGCGUCAUUUAAACCUUCAAGCUAAGCUUGGUGUUGGGUGACUGUCCGCUUCACGGCGGACUCGCCUCAAAAUUAUUGGCGGCCGGUACAUUGGCUUCGAGCGCAGCAGAAACGCGAACUCGGGCCCGUCGUAUUGGCUCCCAGAAGCUAUCUUCACAAUUUUGACCUCGGAUCAGGUAGGGAUACCCGCUGAACUUAAGCAUAUGAAUAAGCGGAGGA
rnacentral:misc_RNA from 1 species